rnacentral:rRNA from 1 species
AUUGAACGCUGGCGGCAUGCCUUACACAUGCAAGUCGAACGGUAACAGGUCUUCGGAUGCUGACGAGUGGCGAACGGGUGAGUAAUACAUCGGAACGUGCCUAGUAGUGGGGGAUAACUACUCGAAAGAGUGGCUAAUACCGCAUGAGAUCUACGGAUGAAAGCAGGGGAUCGCAAGACCUUGUGCUACUAGAGCGGCCGAUGGCAGAUUAGGUAGUUGGUGGGAUAAAAGCUUACCAAGCCGACGAUCUGUAGCUGGUCUGAGAGGACGAUCAGCCACACUGGGACUGAGACACGGCCCAGACUCCUACGGGAGGCAGCAGUGGGGAAUUUUGGACAAUGGGCGCAAGCCUGAUCCAGCAAUGCCGCGUGCAGGAUGAAGGCCUUCGGGUCGUAAACUGCUUUUGUACGGAACGAAAAGCCCUGGGUUAAUACCCUGGGGUCAUGACGGUACCGUAAGAGUAAGCACCGGCUAACUACGUGCCAGCCGCCGCCGUAA